rnacentral:rRNA from 1 species
UACGUAGGGUGCGAGCGUUGUCCGGAAUUAUUGGGCGUAAAGAGCUUGUAGGCGGUUUGUCGCGUCUGCCGUGAAAAUUCGAGGCUCAACCUCGAACUUGCGGUGGGUACGGGCAGACUAGAGUGUGGUAGGGGAGACUGGAAUUCCUGGUGUAGCGGUGAAAUGCGCAGAUAUCAGGAGGAACACCGGUGGCGAAGGCGGGUCUCUGGGCCGAUACUGACGCUGAGGAGCGAAAGCUAGGGGAGCGAACAGG